rnacentral:rRNA from 1 species
UACGGAGGGUGCAAGCGUUGCUCGGAAUUAUUGGGCGUAAAGGGUAGGUAGGUGGUCUUAUUUGUCUAGGGUGAAAGCCUCGGGCUCAACCCGAGAAGUGCCUUAGAAACGGUAAGACUAGAGUCCUGGAGAGGGUCGUGGAAUUCCCGGUGUAGCGGUGAAAUGCGUAGAGAUCGGGAGGAACACCAGGGGCGAAGGCGGCGACCUGGACAGGAACUGACACUAAACUACGAAAGCGUGGGGAGCAAACAGG